rnacentral:rRNA from 1 species
CCUACGGGAGGCAGCAGUGGGGGAUAUUGCACAAUGGGGGGAACCCUGAUGCAGCGACGCCGCGUGGGUGAAGGAGUGCUUCGGCAUGUAAAGCCCUAUCGGCAGGGAAGAAGCAAGACGGUACCUGACUAAGAAGCCCCGGCUAACUACGUGCCAGUAGCCGCGGUAAUACGUAGGGGGCGAGCGUUAUCCGGAUUCACUGGGUGUAAAGGGAGCGUAGACGGCCAUGCAAGCCAGGGGUGAAAGCCCGGGGCCCAACCCCGGGACUGCCCUUGGAACUGUUCGGCUAGAGUGCGGGAGGGGCAGGCGGAAUUCCUGGUGUAGCGGUGAAAUGCGUAGAUAUCAGGAGGAACACCGGCGGCGAAGGCGGCCUGCUGGACUGCGACUGACGUUGAGGCUCGAAAGCGUGGGGAGCGAACAGGAUUAGAUACCCCAGUAGUC